AGUCAACAUGAUGGCAUAAAACCAUAUAAUUGCGGUGUUUGCAAUAAAUCAUUCUUUCGACAAGACGGAUUACAAAAACAUUUGAAAACGCAUACUGGUGAAAACAAAGUCACAUGUGACAUAUGUGACACCAUAUUUAGCUCUAAUAGAUCGUUACAGAAUCAUAGACGAAUACAUACAGGUGAUAAUCCAUUUACAUGUAGCAAAUGUGAAGAUACAUUUCGUUCAGCUGUUUCACUAAAUAAUCACAUGAGAAGCCAUAGUAAAAAAACCUAAAGACUAGUCCAAGAGAGGUGUAUUUUACACGUGAUGUCAUAAAAAAACCAGGUUGAAUACACACGGGUAUGUCUGAUUUCGAAAAAGAAAAAAAACAAUGCAGACAACAUUUGAAACGUGAUUAAUGUGACGGAAAGUUUGGACGACUUAGUGAACUGAG
rnacentral:lncRNA from 1 species